rnacentral:rRNA from 1 species
CUGAACCAGCCAAGUAGCGUGAAGGAUGACUGCCCUAUGGGUUGUAAACUUCUUUUAUACGGGAAUAAAGUGAGGCACGUGUGCCUUUUUGUAUGUACCGUAUGAAUAAGGAUCGGCUAACUCCGUGCCAGCAGCCGCGAUAAUACGGAGGAUCCGAGCGUUAUCCGGAUUUAUUGGGUUUAAAGGGAGCGUAGGCGGACGCUUAAGUCAGUUGUGAAAGUUUGCGG